rnacentral:rRNA from 1 species
AGUGAACGCUGGCGGUAGGCCUAACACAUGCAAGUCGAACGGCAGCACAGGAGAGCUUGCUCUCUGGGUGGCGAGUGGCGGACGGGUGAGGAAUACAUCGGAAUCUACUCUGUCGUGGGGGAUAACGUAGGGAAACUUACGCUAAUACCGCAUACGACCUACGGGUGAAAGCAGGGGACCUUCGGGCCAUGCGCGAUUGAAUGAGCCGAUGUCGGAUUAGCUAGUUGGCGGGGUAAAGGCCCACCAAGGCGACGAUCCGUAGCUGGUCUGAGAGGAUGAUCAGCCACACUGGAACUGAGACACGGUCCAGACUCCUACGGGAGGCAGCAGUGGGGAAUAUUGGACAAUGGGCGCAAGCCUGAUCCAGCCAUACCGCGUGGGUGAAGAAGGCCUUCGGGUUGUAAAGCCCUUUUGUUGGGAAAGAAAUCCAGCUGGCUAAUACCUGGUUGGGAUGACGGUACCCAAAGAAUAAGCACCGGCUAACUUCGUGCCAGCAGCCGCGGUAA